GACGAACGCUGGCGGCGUGGAUUAGGCAUGCAAGUCGAACGGUAUCAUCCUUUCGGGGGUGAGAGAGUGGCGAACUGGUGAGUAACACGUAGGUUAUCUACCCUCAAGACGGGGACAACCCAGGGAAACUUGGGCUAAUACCGGAUGUGAGCAACUUUUAGUUGUUUGAAAGGUGGCGUAAGCUGUCGCUUGGGGAUGAGCCUGCGUCCUAUUAGUUAGUUGGUGAGGUAACGGCUCACCUAGGCAAUGAUAGGUAGGCGGCCUUAACGGGUGGUCGCCCACACUGGGAUUGAGAUACGGCCCAGACUCCUACGGGAGGCAGCAGUCGAGAAUAGUCUACAAUGGUCGGAAGACUGAUAGUGCGACGCCGCGUGAACGAUGAAUCCCUUCGGGGUGUAAAGUUCUUUUAUAUGUGAGCAGUGCUUCUUAUAUUAACAGUAUGGGGAGAGAGAUAUUAGCAUAUGAAUAAGCAACGGCUAACUCCGUGCCAGCAGCCGCGGUAAAACG
rnacentral:rRNA from 1 species